UACGAGGGGUCCUAGCGUUGUUCGGAAUUAUUGGGCGUAAAGAGUAUGUAGGCGGCUAGAUAAGUCAGGUGUGAAAUCCCCGGGCUCAACCCGGGAAGUGCAUUUGAUACUGUCUAGCUUGAGUAUGGAAGAGGGUAGUGGAAUUCCUGGUGUAGUGGUGAAAUACGUAGAUAUCAGGAGGAACACCGGUGGCGAAGGCGGCUACCUGGUCCUAUACUGACGCUGAGAUACGAAAGCAUGGGGAGCAAACAGG
rnacentral:rRNA from 1 species